AAGGAUCAUUACCGAGAGUGUCCCUUCGGGGGCGACCUCCCACCCGUGUGUAUCUACCCCUGUUGCUUUGGCGGGUGACCUGCCCAGGCUGGUCCCAAGCCCGUCAGAGGACCCAAACCUCUUGUGUUUGAUGCAGUCCGAGUAAAACUUUCAAAUUAUCAAAACUUUCAACAACGGAUCUCUUGGUUCCGGCAUCGAUGAAGAACGCAGCGAAAUGCGAUAAGUAAUGUGAAUUGCAGAAUUCAGUGAAUCAUCGAAUCUUUGAACGCACAUUGCGCCCCUUGGUAUUCCGAGGGGCAUGCCUGUCCGAGCGUCAUUGCACCUCUCAAGCUCCGCUUGGUCUUGGGACCCGCCCCCCCCGCGGCGGACCCGAAAAGCAGUGGCGGUCCGGCGAGACUUCAAGCGUAGUGGAAAUUUUCGCUUCGAGAGCUCGAGCCGUGGCCCCGCCAAGUUCAACCCCCAGGAUUUUCCUUCCAGGUUGACCUCGGAUCAGGUAGGGAUACCCGCUGAACUUAA
rnacentral:rRNA from 1 species